rnacentral:lncRNA from 1 species
GGGGUUGGAAGUGGCUGGGAGGGUGAUGGGGCAGCAGGGCUGUUGGCACCGACGGCCUCUGUGGGGUCGCGGGGCGGGGGGCGUGGCAGGGCCCGGGGCGUGGAGGGAGCGCCCGGUCGGGGGCGUGGCCUGAGCGGACCGCGCUCCGGGCCGGGGGCGUGGCCUGGGGGUGGCGAGCGCUCCGGAGCGGGGGAUAGAGGGAGAGGCGGGCUGGGGGCGUGGCUUGGGCGUGGCCCGAGAGCCGGGCCGGGGGCGUGGCCCGGGCGGGCGGGGGCGUGGCCCGGGCGGGCGGGGGCGUGGCCCGGGCGGGCGGGGGCGUGGCCCGGGGAGCCGGGCGGCCGCGGCGCAGGCGGGAUUCGGCGGCGCGCUUUCUCUAGCGGCCGCCCCGCCCGCCGCCAGCCGGGAGGCAGCGCACCGGGGCAGAGGCUCCUGCGAGGGAGCCCGGCGUGCUCCGAGCUCCGCGAGACCGGGAGCGGCCCCGUCUCGUAUCCACUGGCUCCGGAGGCUCCGCCGAGUGGGGGCCGCGCGAGAAGAAAUGCAUUAGGUACAAAGUGGUCACAUGAUUUCCUUCAUCUUUGCAUCUGAAAUGAAACAGAAGUGAAGGGGGAGAGCGUGUCAGGUUAGUUUUUGUUUCUGUGUUGGCUCUGCCAUGCUCUCCACCUUUUCUUGUUGUGGGACUUCCACCCAUGCCUUCCUAGUUCCCAGCUCCUGCCUGUCUAUUUAAUCCCUUCCCCCAGGAACCCUCAGGGAACCUGGAGGGUAUUAUUUAUCCAUGAUGCUCAACUCAUUUUGUAUCAGUCUUUCUUGACUGAAUUAAACCCUGAUGCCUUGAGGUAUAUGUUGUCUGUAAUUAAUUUCUCUUGGAUGCUUCUAGAAAGAGAAGGGUGGUUAAGUUCUUAGAUUCCAUCCUUGGUAGAAUUGAGGGAACAGUCACUCAAAUAGUUACCUGUGUUCUGUGCUGUUGGGGAAGGGAGGCAGCCUGCAGCAAAGUGGGAAACUGGGACUAUUACUUAUCGUGUAGGGCAGGUGCACGGGGAGGGCAAGAGUUUAGAUGAGGAUCAUUGUAAUGGAAGAGCAAAUUAGGUUUUCCUGGUCUCCUUUCACAGUUGAAAAAAUGGAGGUGAGGGACAUUGCUGUGGCCAAAUCCCCAGAGUAAGUGACAAGAAUGAUAUUGGAGUGCAGGGCUGCCUGGCGCAGGAGAUCUGGAUGUAUGCUUCCAUGUGUCUCUCUCCUCUGUGGCUUGUAACUCCCUCACACAGUGCUUUUUCACAGAGGCUUUUCUGAACUAGAUGGUUCCUGCCUGCUGAGCUGCCAAUGCAGCACGAGGGGAGGGGCCAGGGCUGAUGGAAGUUCCAGGUCCCAUCCCUGCCUGUCUCACUGGGGGUGCACAUGGCACGUUCUCACUGCCUGAGAGGGCACCAGGGAGCUGUGGCAAUGCCGGGAAUGGAAAGAAAAUGUUAGAUGUUUCUAAUUGAUGGCACUGAUUUGUGGAUACAGGUAAAGCCCCAUCCUGUGGUCCUAAUGUGCAAAUGUCCUGGUCGUAGACCUGUUACCUCAUCUUACCCAGGACCUUAAAGGACCUGAUUUCUUGGUCGGAUAUAACCUCUGCCCAUUUCCCUGCAGUAGGACCACUCUGUGUCAUUGUGGAAGAACUGAGAACUCAAACAUUGUAAUUUCAGGGACCAUGUGCUGGACUCAGAAUAUCUUCAAACACUCUUGCCUGCCAGAUCUGGACUGGCACCCUCCCCUGCCUCCCAUCCUCACUCCCUGGAUUCAGCCAGAUUGGGGGAGCUCAGAGAGGAUUCUGUUUGGCUAAUUUGGAAGAAAGGGGCAGCUAGUCUGCCCCCCAGCCUCCAUUAAUACCACGACAAAGUUUGUUCUGUCGCAAGCUGACCUUGGAGAAAAAUAGAACACAGGUCUGAAAUGACCAGACUGGAAAGUGUUGGUGGAGGGAGGCAGCCUGCAGGAAAGUGGGAAACUGGGACUAUUGCUUAUCAUGUAGAGCAGGUGCAAGGGGAGGGCAAGCCCAUGAUUUUAUUGUCUUACAACAGAGGGGCAGGAGGCCAGGAAUGAGAUGCGUUCCUAGUACUGGAACUUUGAUCACAGUCUUUCGUAGAGUUAUCAUUCUAUGUAAUCUAAACAGUGAGGAGUCUUGUACUUGAGUGUUAAAGUUACAAUUCAGUCACAUUAAACACAUUUCUGAGGUCAGGCCUUAGUACUUAACCACCAUGUGUGAUACAGAGAGAGAUGAAUGAGUCCCGAGUCCUAAAACAACUUACACAUGUACUUUGAAACACAUUCAGUUGAUACAUGGGGGCCAUCUAUGGCUACGAGAAAACCAGCUUUACUUCAGAAAUUUGCUUCAUUUCCACCCUUCCUGAUAGGAUGGCAUGCUCACAUGUGCACAGUUUUUGUGUCCCUUUUAUGUGCCAGGUCUUGGGUUGGAUGCUGAAGAUGGAAAGUCGUCAGAAACAGCCACUGUCCUCAAGGAGGCUCACAUUCCUGUCCAGUGGGAGAGGUAGAUGUGUGAAAGGAAAGUCUUGAAACUUGUACCUUGUAGUGAUCAGUUUAUGGGGAGGAAGCACACAAGAGGUCCAGGAAGGCUUCCUGGAGGAGGAAUUAACUGCAGCCUGGGCUGAAGGGGAUGAGCAGGUUGGGGAAGUAGCUGAUGGAGGGAGGCGUAAGACAGAUUCAGGCAGAUUGAAUAAGCAGAGGUGGGUAGACAGACUUCCACUUGGUGACCUUAGGGACUCUGAAACACUUCUACAUGGCUAUAGCUCCUCGCUCAUCAUUUAUGACUGUUAACGGUGUGUCUACAGCAGUAGUAGUGCCUCAGUAUCACUUGGGGAUUUGUUAGAAGAGCAAAUUCUAGGGCUUUCCUCAGACCUGUUGAGAGUUUCAGAAGACCAAAGUUUGAGAACCAUUGUUCUAGAACAUGUGCUUUCCAGAGGUCCUAAACAGUUCAUCUUCAUGGCUACAUGAUAAUCUUUUCAGAAAGUGGAAACUCUGUUCCUCCCUGGUUGUAUUGGGUAGGAUUUUCCUGGAGUCCACAGCCAUCCUCAUUUCCUGCAUUUCUUUGCCUAGUGUAUGUACAUACUCACAGUUCCUUCUACCCACCCUAUUUCUUUCAUUGCACACAAGUGAUUUGUAUAAUUUCUAUAACACCUCUGCCUGACGUGAUUUCUUAGUGUUGACAGUAGUCAAACUGAGUUCACAUCGUGACUUUGCUGUGUGAUCUUGGGAAAGCGUUAACCUGUCUGUCCCUCAAUUGCUUCAUGUGAAAAAUGUAUGUAGUAAAAGUACCCAGCCCUUAGGUAAGCAUUUCAAACUUUGCUGCAUAUUGGAAUUACCCAGGGGUUUUUAAAAAAGCUAAUGCCUACUGCCACCCCAAAUAUUGUCAUUGAUUUUGGGUGUGACCAAGGCAUUGGAAUUUUUAGCAGCUUCCCAUGAGCAAUGAAAUCUGGGAUUCACUGUGAUCGGCUGUUGUGAGGAUGAAUUGAGUCUGUUCUUGCUCAGCAGAGGGCCUGGUGGAGGCUCUGAUGGUUUUAUGGCAACAGGAGGAGAAAGUGAGCCAUUUCAAUAGUUUGAUUAAUACUUGUUGCUUGUCAAAUGCUUGUUGGUUUGGAGGUCUCCUGGUGGUCCCCUUUUUUGUUCUGGGAGGUGAGAGGUGACAUAGCCCAAGGCAGUGGAUCUCCAUGUCUAAUUCUCUAAGCUCUCUCUUUGCAAGGAUACAAGGAUCAUGCUGUAAACAGAGCAUGUCCCCUCCCACAGCCUGCCCAGCGUUGGGCACCAUUUCCUACAUCUAUAUGGAAGAACUUGGGUUUUUGGAGUAUAACCAGAUUCUAAAGUCAUGAGGUAGCAAUGCUUUACAAUAUGGAUGGGAACUACAUAAUAGUUGGGUACCACUACUGCCUACAUUUUUCAGGUAAGGCAACUGAAACAUAGAGAGGUUAAUGCUUUCCCAAGGUCACUCAGUUAGUAAGCAGCAGAGUUGGGACCUGAAUCCAGUUUAUUUUGUACCUGCUCUAAUCUUUUUUUAAAAAUAUUUUAUUUAUUUAUUCAUGAGAGACACACAGAGAGAGGCAGAGACACAGGCAGAGGGAGAAGCAGGCUCCCUGUGGGGGGCCUGAUGCGGGACUCAUCCCAGGAUUGUGGGAUCACGCCCUGAGCUGAAGGCAGACGGCUCAACUGCUGAGCCAUUCAGCCCUCCUGUACCUGCUCUAAUCUAUCAUUUGUACCUAAAUGCCAGUUUUCAAUCCUGGAAUAAAUCUUUAGACUUGGUCUCUCUUUGGCAUGGAUCUGUUUUCUAGGAUCUAGAUGUCACUCUGUCAUAAAUUAUGUAUUUCUAACCAUUACUUGAAAGGUUGUAUAUAAUCUUUUUGCCUGCCCUAUCUUGUCACACACGUUAAGUUCACCUUCAUUCAUUGUUUUAUUAAUUUGACAACUAUUGAUGAACCUCUGCUUUGCACCAAACAACCAAGUUAGUAAGUUUAUUCCUUCUUUUCCUCCUCUGGACAAACAUGUCUCUCUCUUAUCAGCAUGUGUAAGUACUUUGGUUUUGAUUUAUGACUGUGGCCUUUUCUAUACCUGUCUUUUUGGUGACAUAAUUCCUCCACUCUUAAUAAUGGAACAUAUGAAGGACAUUUUUCCUGUUGACUUCAUGGGCCUUCCUUGAACCCUGCUGAGAUUAAUUAAGCGAAGCCCCAUGCAACAAUUAUUCUAAUAUAUCCUGCAAGUUAUUAAAAUGUAGGUUGCCCAGGACCAGGAGGUUCAAGUAAGUGAUCUACAGUUAGUACCCUCAGAAUGAAAUCUGUGAUGCAGUUGAGGUUUUUUGGGUUUGUAAUAUCUUUUAGUCUAGAAUCAGUCCUAGUAGUGUGGCCAAACUAAAUAAAGAAAUGAGAAAUAGGUGAAUUUAUAUCUCAAGUAUUUGAUCUGUUCUCUUUCUGUGAAAAAGUUAGAUUAUGUGUUUGGUUUUGUUUUCUGUGUAGGAC